rnacentral:rRNA from 1 species
UACAGAGGGGGCAAGCGUUAUUCGGAAUUAUUGGGCGUAAAGGGCGCGUAGGCGGCCUGGCAAGUGGAAGGUGAAAUCCCUCGGCUUAACCGAGGAACUGCCCUCCAAACUGCUUGGCUUGAGUCCGGGAGAGGUGAGUGGAAUUCCCAGUGUAGCGGUGAAAUGCGUAGAUAUCGGGAGGAACACCUGUGGCGAAGGCGGCCCCCUGGUCGGAUACUGACGCUGAGACGCGAAAGCGUGGGUAGCAAACAGG